UCCGGUUUGUCACCGGCAGUCUCAUUAGAGUGCCCAACUCAAUGUAGCAACUAAUGACAAGGGUUGCGCUCGUUGCGGGACUUAACCCAACAUCUCACGACACGAGCUGACGACAGCCAUGCAGCACCUGUGUUACGGCUCUCUUUCGAGCACUCAGCCAUCUCUGGCCAAUUCCGUACAUGUCAAAGGUGGGUAAGGUUCUUCGCGUUGCGUCGAAUUAAACCACAUGCUCCACCGCUUGUGCGGGCCCCCGUCAAUUCCUUUGAGUUUCAACCUUGCGGUCGUACUCCCCAGGCGGGGUACUUCCUGCGUUAGCGCCGGCACCCAGAGGGUCGCUCCCCCAGGCACCUAGUACCCAUCGUUUACGGCGUGGACUAC
rnacentral:misc_RNA from 1 species